rnacentral:rRNA from 1 species
ACACUCCUGCGGGAGGCAGCAGUGGGGAAUUUUGGACAAUGGGCGAAAGCCUGAUCCAGCAAUGCCGCGUGAGUGAAGAAGGCCUUCGGGUUGUAAAGCUCUUUUGUCAGGGAAGAAACGGUGAGAGCUAAUAUCUUUUGCUAAUGACGGUACCUGAAGAAUAAGCACCGGCUAACUACGUGCCAGCAGCCGCGGUAAUACGUAGGGUGCAAGCGUUAAUCGGAAUUACUGGGCGUAAAGCGUGCGCAGGCGGUUUUGUAAGUCUGAUGUGAAAUCCCCGGGCUCAACCUGGGAAUUGCAUUGGAGACUGCAAGGCUAGAAUCUGGCAGAGGGGGGUAGAAUUCCACGUGUAGCAGUGAAAUGCGUAGAUAUGUGGAGGAACACCGAUGGCGAAGGCAGCCCCCUGGGUCAAGAUUGACGCUCAUGCACGAAAGCGUGGGGAGCAAACAGGAUUAGAAACCCGAGUAGUCCCAU